rnacentral:rRNA from 1 species
AACGGGGGGAACAUGCGAUAUCCUGCCAUAACUGGCGUAUAAGAGUUUUAAGGCUGUCAUAAAUGCAGUUUUCGAUGAAAGCGAAAUACAUCGAUUUGUCAACUGCAGUGACUAUGAGACGAACGAAGAAUGCGGAACUCUCAAAUAUAAGGGGUGACAUCACUGUUACAUUAGACGGGAACCGCCAAUAGCGAUUGCGCUAUCUUCUUUCGUUUUAAUUAUAUACCUGACGCUGCUUAAACGAAAGUGUGGAGCAAACAG